rnacentral:rRNA from 1 species
GAUUAGCCAUGCAUGUCUAAGUAUAAGCAAUUAUACGGCGAAACUGCGAAUGGCUCAUUAUAUAAGUUAUCGUUUAUUUGAUAGUACCUUACUACUUGGAUAACCGUGGUAAUUCUAGAGCUAAUACAUGCUAAAAAUCCCGACUUCGGAAGGGAUGUAUUUAUUAGAUUAAAAACCAAUGCCCUUCGGGGCUCCUUGGUGAUUCAUGAUAACUUCGCGAAUCGCAUGGCCUUGCGCCGGCGAUGGUUCAUUCAAAUUUCUUCCCUAUCAACUUUCGAUGUUUGGGUAUUGGCCAAACAUGGUUGCAACGGGUAACGGAGGGUUAGGGCUCGACCCCGGAGAAGGAGCCUGAGAAACGGCUACUACAUCCAAGGAAGGCAGCAGGCGCGCAAAUUACCCAAUCCCGACACGGGGAGGUAGUGACAAUAAAUACUGAUACAGGGCUCUUUAGGGUCUUGUAAUUGGAAUGAGUACAAUUUAAAUCCCUUAACGAGGAACAAUUGGAGGGCAAGUCUGGUGCCAGCAGCCGCGGUAAUUCCAGCUCCAAUAGCGUAUAUUAAAGUUGUUGUGGUUAAAAAGCUCGUAGUUGAACCUUGGGCCUGGCUGGCCGGUCCGCCUCACCGCGUGCACUGGUCCGGCCGGGCCUUUCCCUCUGUGGAACCCCAUGCCCUUCACUGGGCGUGGCGGGGAAACAGGACUGNUACUUUGAAAAAAUUAGAGUGCUCCAGGCAGGCCUAUGCUCGAAUACAUUAGCAUGGAAUAAUAAAAUAGGACGUGCGGUC